AUUGAACGCUGGCGGAAUGCUUUACACAUGCAAGUCGAACGGCAGCACGGACUUCGGUCUGGUGGCGAGUGGCGAACGGGUGAGUAAUACAUCGGAACGUGCCCAAUCGUGGGGGAUAACGUAGCGAAAGCUACGCUAAUACCGCAUACGAUCUAAGGAUGAAAGCGGGGGAUCGCAAGACCUCGCGCGAUUGGAGCGGCCGAUGGCAGAUUAGGUAGUUGGUAGGGGAAAGGCCUACCAAGCCGACGAUCUGUAGCUGGUCUGAGAGGAUGAUCAGCCACACUGGGACUGAGACACGGCCCAGACUCCUACGGGAGGCAGCAGUGGGGAAUUUUGGACAAUGGACGCAAGUCUGAUCCAGCCAUUCCGCGUGCAGGAUGAAGGCCCUCGGGUUGUAAACUGCUUUUGUACAGAACGAAAAGGCUCUGGUUAAUACCUAGGGCUCAUGACGGUACUGUAAGAAUAAGCACCGGCUAACUACGUGCCAGCAGCCGCGGUAA
rnacentral:rRNA from 1 species